UACCACGUUACACGCGCUUGUCGAACACGCACCAUUGCUCAAACCGCUCAGUUUACGAUUAGACGUACGUUGCAAUGGAUCUGGAUCAGUGUUCUUUGCGCAUUUCCACAGAAAAAACGCCAGUAGAUGUGCCGUUGGUUAUAGGACCAAUUUCUAUCACAAACGCUGCCCUUCACCAUAAUGCAUCUAUAUUUCUUACUGCAGCGAAAAUAGCGGAACAUUUUCAAUUGCCGUACGUUCAUACAUUAAAAUCACCCGUAUCGAUGGAAGAACUUGACGGAAGCAUUUUUAAACCAACAACGGUGCGUUGGCUCGAGGUGUUCCCGUUUGUAGAUGAGUGUAUGCUACGAUCCUUGGUGAGACAAGCCGAACAUUGUGGUUUUAGUGCUUUUGUGUUAUCCUUCUUGGGGCCCUCCAAUCAUGUGAUGAGCAUAUUCAACGAACAACCUCACGUCCGGUUUUCUGACCUUCAUCGAACCCAGGGCGAAGCUAUUUAUCGGUCAAAAUAUAUGCUGCCGCCAGCUAGGGAAGCAAAACCUGUGACAUGGUUUAUUGAUCAGUUUCGUUGUUGUACGGAAGCUCCAGUAAUUGCAUGCGUAUCUACCACGCAACAGGAUCUAAUUUUCCAAGCGCUCUACGCAGGUGUCGACAUCAUCUGUGUGGUUAUUGAUGAAUACACGCCUUUCCCAAUAUUCGUUAAACUUAUCCAGAUGAUAAAGCAGUCAAUUUUCAUAAAUACUCCAAUAUACGCAGGAGGAAGUAGUUUCACUGAAACAGAAGUUGCCGAGCUCAUUGCACUAGGUGUAGUACGCAUAAUGAUCGAUCAACCUAUCGUAUGGGGGUAUAUGAUAGAUGGAUUUGACGGAAUAUGUAAUGUAGUCAACAUUUAUAAAAAUAGAAUACGUAAUAAACGAUAAGUUUUCUAUUUCUAUUAUUAUUAUUUUUUAUACUGAAAGAACACUUCUUUUAGUCGCUACUACACAUACAGUAUUUAUUCUGUGGCAGUGAUGUAGCAAUACCUCACUGAGACGUUUCAUCCAAAGCCACUAGAACAGAAAGUCCGGCCCGCAGGUCAAAUGCAGGCACAAGAGAGUGCCAUCCGGGACGAGAGGGUGAACAUUUCGGGAACUACACUGUAUACUAACGUUUGCAUUUGAAAAAAAUGGACUUUUUUCAUCUGGCUGUCGAAAAAAUUAAGAGAUUUUUUUUCCAAGGUACAUCCAACAUCCAGGUACAUCUAGGUACAUGAACACCCUUUAAAAGGUAAUUAUUUUACCUUUCUUGCAAAAGAUAUCUACAACCAUGCGAGCUGCCUUUUGUCUUUUACCCUUUUGUAGAGCUUUUGCAACUUGUUGGUUAGUGAUGAGUAAAGUUGGCAAAAAACCGGAGUCGACUCCGAUCCGACUCCGAUAAAUUCGGAAUCGACUCCGGAAGGUA